GCCCGCGUAGCUCAGCUGGAAGAGCACCGGUCCUACAAACCGGCUGUCCCAGGUUCAAGUCCUGGCGCGGGUA
rnacentral:tRNA from 1 species